rnacentral:rRNA from 1 species
GACGAACCGUGCGAACGUUAUUCGGAAUCACUGGGCUUAAAGCGCGUGUAGGCGGGUCGGUGCGUCGGCCGCUGAAAUCCCCCGGCUCAACCGGGGAAGGGGCGCCGAUACGACCGGCCUGGAGCGACGUAGGGGGAACUGGAACUUCCGGUGUAGUGGUGAAAUGCGUAGAUAUCGGGAGGAACACCAGUGGCGAAGGCGACUUUCUGGCCUGUUCUUGACGCUGAGGCGCGAAAGCUAGGGGAGCAAACGGG